rnacentral:sRNA from 1 species
AGAAGGUUUAAACUCACAAUAAUUUGUUUUCAGUGCCUUUCUAGGAGUGUUGCUGAGUUUAAGUGGAUGCACAAUUUAAGGGCUUAAAUAGCCUUGUUUCCCAUUAUUUUCACAGCAAAGAUUUCUGAAGACUUCUUUCUAGAAACGACUGGAAAGCUUCAAGAGGCAUAAGAUACAGCAUUUCUUCUGAGGCCCUGAAGAAGUAUCAAGUGGGCUUUGACAUUGCGGUGGGACAGCGACCCCUCCUCACCUGGAGAACUGGGAAAUGUGGAUUCUCAGGGACCGCGCUGUUCACCAGCUCCAGGCUGUGCUGCUG